UGGGGAAUUUUGGACAAUGGGGGCAACCCUGAUCCAGCAAUGCCGCGUGUGUGAAGAAGGCCUUCGGGUUGUAAAGCACUUUUGUCCGGAAAGAAAGCAUCCCUGUUAAUACCGGGGGUGGAUGACGGUACCGGAAGAAUAAGCACCGGCUAACUACGUGCCAGCAGCCGCGGUAAUACGUAGGGUGAGAGCGUUAAUCGGAAUUACUGGGCGUAAAGCGUGCGCAGGCGGUGAUGUAAGACCGAUGUGAAAUCCCCGGGCUUAACCUGUGAACUGCAUUGGUGACUUCAUCGCUAGAGUAUGGCAGAGGGGGGUGGAAUUCCACGUGUAGCAGUGAAAUGCGUAGAGAUGUGGAGGAACACCGAUGGCGAAGGCAGCCCCCUGGGCCAAUACUGACGCUCAUGCACGAAAGCGUAGGGAGCAAACAGG
rnacentral:rRNA from 1 species